AUGAACGCUGGCGGCGUGCUUAACACAUGCAAGUCGAACGAGAAGUGAAUACGGAAACCUUCGGGCGGAAGGCUUUAUUUCGAGUGGCGGACGGGUGAGUAACGCGUGGGUAACCUGCCUCAUACAGGGGGAUAACAGUUGGAAACGACUGUUAAUACCGCAUAAGACCACAGCACCGCAUGGUGCUGGGGUAAAAACUCCGGUGGUAUGAGAUGGACCCGCGUUCGAUUAGCCAGUUGGCGGGGUAACGGCCCACCAAAGCGACGAUCGAUAGCCGAUCUGAGAGGAUGACCGGCAACAUUGGGACUGAGACACGGCCCAAACUCCUACGGGAGGCAGCAGUGGGGAAUAUUGCACAAUGGGGGAAACCCUGAUGCAGCGACGCCGCGUGAGUGAAGAAGUAUUUCGGUAUGUAAAGCUCUAUCAGCAGGGAAGAAAAUGACGGUACCUGAGUAAGAAGCCCCGGCUAACUACGUG
rnacentral:rRNA from 1 species